UACGUAGGUGGCAAGCGUUGUCCGGAUUUAUUGGGUUUAAAGGGUGCGUAGGCGGCCUAUUAAGUCAGUUCUGAAAUAUCCCGGCUUAACCGGGAGGGUGGGAUUGAUACUGAUGGGCUUGAGUAGAGUCGAGGUAGGCGGAAUUGACGGUGUAGCGGUGAAAUGCUUAGAUAUCGUCAAGAACACCGAUAGUGUAGACAGCUUACUAGACUCAAACUGACGCUGAGGCACGAAAGUGUGGGGAUCAAACAGG
rnacentral:rRNA from 1 species